UUUAAAUGUAAUUUUAWAAAUCAAGUGAUUAAUAGUUAAGUUCUUUAAAGCUAAAUGAUUUGGCGGUAUUUUAAACUUUUCAGAGGAACCUGUUCUAUAAAUGAUAAUCCACGAUUGAAAUAACUUAAGUUAGAAAUUUUUAUAUCAUCGUUAUUAAAUAUUUUAUAAGAAUUUAAUAUUUAAAAUUGCUUUAAGAAGAAUUAAAUCAGAUCAAGGUGAAGUUAAUACUUAAGAAGAAAUGGGUUACAAUAAAUUUUAUUUUUGGAUUUUAAUUUAUAAAAUUAGAAGAAAAUUGGAUUUGAAAGUAAUUAAUUAUACUUAUUUUUAAUGAUUAAGCUCUAAAAUAUGC
rnacentral:rRNA from 2 species